GUGCCAGCAGCCGCGGUAAUACGUGGGGGGCGAGCGUUGUCCGGAUUUAUUGGGCGUAAAGAGCUCGUAGGCGGUUCAACAAGUCGGUCGUGAAAGUUCAGGGCUCAACCCUGAAAUGUCGAUCGAUACUGUUGUGACUAGGAUACGGUAGAGGUGAGUGGAAUUCCGAGUGUAGCGGUGAAAUGCGUAGAUAUUCGGAGGAACACCAAUUGCGAAGGCAGCUCACUGGGCAUUUACUGACGCUCAGACACGAAGGCUAGGGUAGCGAAAGGGAUUAGAUA
rnacentral:rRNA from 1 species